rnacentral:tRNA from 1 species
ACCCAGCUAGUAUGGUGGAUAUGACCUUCGGCUUGUAACCGAAUGAGCUCGGGUUCGAAUCCCGAGUAAGGCA